rnacentral:rRNA from 1 species
AGGGCGCAUGGCGGAUGCCUUGGCUCUCGGAGGCGAUGAAGGACGUGAUAAGCUGCGAUAAGCUUCGGGUAGGUGCAAAUAACCCUUGAUCCGAAGAUUUCCGAAUGGGACAACCCGUCAUUCUGAAGGAAUGACAUCUUGCAUAGCAAGAGGCUAACACAGGGAACUGAAACAUCUUAGUACCUGUAGGAAAAGAAAAUAAUAAUGAUUCCCCAAGUAGUGGCGAGCGAACGGGGAUCAGCCCAAACCAUUGUUGUUACGGCAACAAUGGGGUUGUAGGACCACGAUGUCGCAAGACAUUUCAUGAGUAGAACUCUCUGGAAAGUGAGACCAUAGACGGUGAUAGUCCGGUAUACGAAGUGAAACGAAGCGUAGUGGUAUCCUGAGUAGCGCGGGACACGAGAAAUCUUGCGUGAAUCUGCCGGGACCAUCCGGUAAGGCUAAAUACUCCCGAGAGACCGAUAGCGAACCAGUACCGUGAGGGAAAGGUGAAAAGCACUUCGAACAGAAGAGUGAAAUAGUCCCUGAAACCGUGCGCCUACAAGCGGUCGGAGCAACUUCGGUUGUGACGGCGUGCCUUUUGCAUAAUGAACCUACGAGUUACUUUUUCCGGCAAGGUUAAGUGUCUCAAGACAUGAAGCCGAAGCGAAAGCGAGUCUGAACAGGGCGAUUAGUCGGAAGGAGUAGACGCGAAACCAAGUGAUCUACCCUUGGUCAGGUUGAAGGUUAGGUAACACUAACUGGAGGACCGAACCGAUAAGCGUUGAAAAGCUUCCGGAUGAACUGAGGGUGGGGGUGAAAGGCUAAUCAAACUUGGAGAUAGCUCGUACUCCCCGAAAUGCAUUUAGGUGCAGCCUUGGGAAUUACUACUGUGAGGUAGAGCGACUGAUAAGAUGCGAGGGCUUCACCGCCUAUCAAGUCUUGAUAAACUCCGAAUGCGCAGUAGUUCGAUCCCAGGAGUGAGGGCAUGGGUGCUAAGGUCCAUGUCCUAAAGGAGAAGAAUCCAGACCAUCAGCUAAGGUCCCGAAAUAAUUGCUAAGUUGAACUAACGAAGUCAGAUUGCUAAGACAGCUAGGAUGUUGGCUUGGAAGCAGCCAUUCAUUUAAAGAGUGCGUAACAGCUCACUAGUCGAGGAGUUUGGCGUGGAUAAUAAUCGGGCAUCAAGCAAUUUACCGAAGCUAUGGGAUCCGUAAGGAUCGGUAGGGGAGCAUUCCACUCCGCGUCGAAGGUGAAGCGUGAGCUUUGCUGGAGCGUGUGGAAAAGCAAAUGUAGGUAUAAGUAACGAUAAAGGGGGUGAGAAACCCCCUCGCCGAAAGACUAAGGUUUCCUGAUCAACGCUAAUCGGAUCAGGGUUAGUCGGGUCCUAAGGCUCAGCCGAACGGUGAGGCCGAUGGCAGAACAGGUUAAUAUUCCUGUACUACCUUGAAGAGUGACGUGGAGACGGAGGAGUGACAGCGCCGCGGACUGACGGAAUAGUCCGUUGAAGGGUGUAGAUGUUGAUUAUCCCAGGCAAAUCCGGGAUAAGAGUCGAACCUGAUAGUAUACCAAAUUCCUCGGAAUAAGGUAAUAGUGCGUGUAAACAUACUCCCAAGAAAAUCCGCUAAACUUAAUCUUUAAGGUACCCGUACCGCAAACGGACACACGUAGUCGGGUUGAAUAUACUAAGGCGCUUGAGUGAUUCACGGUUAAGGAACUAGGCAAAUUGACCCUGUAACUUCGGGAUAAAGGGUCCCAACGAGAGUUGGGCGCAGAGAAUAGGUCCAGGCAACUGUUUAACAAAAACACAGGGCUGUGCCAAAUUGAAAGAUCACGUAUACAGCCUGACACCUGCCCGGUGCUGGAAGGUUAAGAGGAGAUGUCAUCGCAAGAGAAGCAUUGAAUUGAAGCCCCAGUAAACGGCGGCCGUAACUAUAACGGUCCUAAGGUAGCGAAAUUCCUUGUCGGGUAAGUUCCGACCUGCACGAAUGGUGUAAUGAUCUGGACACUGUCUCAACCGUGAGCUCAGUGAAAUUGUAGUAUCGGUGAAGAUGCCGAUUACCCGCGAUGGGACGAAAAGACCCCGUGAACCUUUACUAUAGCUUAACAUUGAAUUUGGGUAAUUGAUGUGUAGGAUAGGCCGGAGACUUUGAAGCAGGUACGCCAGUAUUUGUGGAGUCGCUGUUGAAAUACGGCCCUUUGAUUAUUUGAGUUCUAACUCGUAGAAACGAGGACACUGUUUGGUGGGUAGUU